CAGAGCUUUCGAGCCACGCGAUAGUAGCAGUUGGCCUUCUAAAACCGCGAAACACGUCCCGCGUUCUCUCGAUGAAAGCAUACCGCUAGAAAAGGCUGUCUAAGACACGCUUUUUUCCUCGUUUAUUGUGUAUGUGCGUGUUUAGAGUAAGCAUCCGAAGACAUCCCCGAUUCAUCGUGACCCUUCUUCGGGUCAAGCUCCUCGCGUUCGCUCUUAUUUGACACUGACAUCCGGCACAUCCGCACCAAAUCACGGCAAAUACUAACAACACCGUCGUCGCCUGUGCCUCGAACAUUGUGACUACGUGCAUCAAGCGAAUCGAUCGAAUACUAGCGAUCAGGAAAGUCUCCGACCCUGAAAGUCGACGUGUAUAUCAAAUGUAUCAGAUUAGAGGAUAAUUAACGCGCGUAACGCGCGUUAACCGGCGAUAAUGCGCUAAUGGAGAACAGUCGAGGUACUCGUGUAUUUUCCACAGCGGAAAAAUAUAUUUGAAAGAAAAAUAAUCCUAGCUGAAUGAAAAUACUGCUGAAGAAGUAGAAGAAAUCUAAACUUUCGACAUUAUCUUUCAAUUAUACCUAUGUGAUGAUUGUGUUCUCUGUACGUUACUUUAGUAUCGCGGCCAAAAAGGACUCAUUGUGCCAAUUGCCUUUUCAUCAAAUAAAUACACGACAAAAUAUCAUUAACUUUUAAUAUACAAUAAAAUUAUAAAACCAUUGAGUAAACGUAGAAUACAACAGCAAUUUUAUUAAGAAUUGUAAUGAUUCGAGACAUCUCAAUGAGACAAGAUGAGAGGACAGACGGAAACGAGGGAACUCACAAAUGUAAUACCCUAAUGUUUAGUCGCCUAGUAAAAAUUAAGAAGGUCAAGAUCGUCUUGGUAAUCAAUCGCAUGUCAGAGUGAUUACGGUCGAUAGUAAUACGGUUACGCACGGUAAAACAUGAAUGACAGCGAGAUCUAUCUAUUGAACUGGGAAGAAGAGGUACACGCAUUAAACAACGAUCUUGACAGGAGCUUUUAUAACGCGAGCUAUCCGCCAUUUAAUCACACCUAUGACGAUCUCUGGGAACUCGCUACGGAUCGAAUCGGUCUUGCGAUCGUUCUACUGCUCUUCUGCGUGGCUACGGUUUUCGGCAACUCAUUAGUGAUUCUUGCGGUAUUCCGAGAGAGACAUCUACACACAGCUACAAACUACUUUGUGACUUCAUUGGCUUGCGCCGAUUGCUUGGUAGGACUAGUGGUAAUGCCAAUUAGCGCGGUGUACGAGGUACUAGAAAAUCGCUGGCUGUUCACAACGGACUGGUGCGACGUUUGGCGCUCGCUGGAUGUUCUCUUCUCUACGGCGUCCAUCCUGAAUCUGUGCGUUAUUAGUUUGGAUCGUUACUGGGCGAUCACCGAUCCCUUUACGUAUCCAACUCGAAUGAGCAGGAAACGCGCAGCGAUCUUAAUUGCUAUCGUAUGGAUUUGUUCGAGUGCGAUCUCUUUUCCUGCAAUAGCGUGGUGGCGUGCGGUUCGUACUGAGCAAGUGCCGAAAGACAAGUGUCCCUUUACGGAAAAUCUCGGUUAUCUGAUAUUCUCAUCGACAAUCAGUUUUUACCUGCCGCUAUUCGUGAUGGUAUUCACGUAUUACAGAAUCUAUCGCGCUGCUGUGAUACAGACGAGGAGUCUAAAACUCGGCACAAAACAGGUGAUGAUGGCCUCAGGCGAACUCGAGCUCACCCUAAGGAUACACCGAGGCGGCGUAUCUACUACCAAUACCGACGCCAGGCAUCUUUUUCGUACCGCGUCGAGCACACCUGAGGACCUCCAAGAUCUCGAGGAGCCGUUAACGGCUUUUCAUAACAAUGGUCUCACUAGAGUGCCCUCCACGAGAAUCAACAACAAACAACAUCUAGGGAAAAAUUUCUCUCUCUCGCGUAAGCUCGCCAAGUUUGCCAAAGAAAAAAAAGCGGCAAAGACCCUUGGUAUCGUUAUGGGUGUAUUUAUUAUUUGCUGGCUACCGUUCUUCGUUGUGAAUCUAUUGUCGGGAUUCUGCACAAGGUGCAUAUGGCAAGAAGAAAUGGUAUCUGCGGCUGUUACUUGGCUUGGCUGGAUUAACAGCGGAAUGAAUCCCGUGAUAUACGCUUGUUGGAGCAGAGAUUUUCGUAGAGCUUUCGUCAGAAUUUUAUGCUAUUGUUGUCCCAGACGAAUGAAACGGAGAUAUCAGCCAGCAUUUAGAUGUAAACCAAGUCAAAAAUUUGCAUCCGGGCGGUACUACUCUGCAUAUUCUCUUCAUCAUGUACGGGGAAGAGAAAAUUCCAGCGAGCAAACCUACAUUUAACAAUGGAAUAUCAUCGCGAAUUGGUCGUCAAUCGUUGAUCGUGAAAUUCCUCUGAGACCUUUUCUUUAUUUCUGUUUACAUCGCUUUCCCUUUGUCCUUAAUGCAAUAUAGAUAAACCAGUAUAUAGUUUGGCGAUUUUGUGCAAGAUUUCCAAACAAUCACGAUCCUCUGUCCAUUUUCCACAUAGAAGACCCCUUAUGUAUCGAAGAUCAACGAACAUCAACGAAUAUCAACGCAUAUCCAUAGAAUAUAAAUUCUCGUAUAUCUCCGGAAUGGCAACGGGGGGGCAAGCAAGUAACGUAAGCUACAGCAGCGUUAGUCAGAGCAGCGACGGCGGCAUAUGCGCGACCGGAAGUGGUCUUCCCAGCACCGGUAUGUGACGGCACACACCGGCCCGAGCAGGGCCACGUCGAGAACGAGCGAUUCGAUUCCGUGAUGCAUGAAUAGAAGUAUAAUUCGAACAAAGAGGAAAAACUGAAAGAAUUGUUCUGCUACUUAAACCCAUUAGUGUCAGUCAACAACCUUGCUUUAAGAGGCCGCAAGAACUAAUCACAGUUGAAUGUGAGAACAAUUGACUAUAGUUGGUCAAUUUCUUACGGUCUUAUGGCUUACGGCCUUUUAAAGCAAGAUUGUGGACUAAUAUUUAGGUUUGAAAAGUAUCAAGAAAAGUUUCCAAUAAAGUGCUCCAUGAUACUCCAAGAUUUAUCAUCACGAAAUGCUCCUGCGGCCGAAAAGAAAAAUUGUAAGCGACGCAAGCGAUGAAUUGACGAAUAUCACCAAAUAUCUAGAAAGCAUGUACUUAACAAGAAUUUGUAACAGCUUUCAUAUUGCCACAAUUAAAAUAAAUUAUUGGACUUUCACUCACAUAA